rnacentral:lncRNA from 1 species
CUUGUACUCUUUCCCUUUAUUUCUAGACCGGCCAACACUUAGAGAAAUAGAAAAGAACCUAUGUGAAAUAUCGGGGGCUGGUUUCCCCUGAUAGUGAAGGAGACAGGUUAGAUACACUGGAGCUUCCACACAGGAGAGAGGGAAGGAGCUGGAGAAGAAGGUGAGUUGGAAGAUUUGGGGGUUUUGUUUUUAAGUGAGAGAGCUUUGAAUAGGUUUAAUGCUGAUGGUGGGGAUCCAGUUAAGAGAAACACUGAAAAUUAACUAGAGGGAAAGGUAACUGACAGUAUAGAGUUCCUAAGAACCCAAGCAGUAAAUUCUAGCCUAGCUGGGGGUGGAGUGUGAAGAAGUGAAGAACCUUUUUUAUUUUUUUUUUAAUGGGCUGGGUGUGAAGCUACAUUUGUAGUUUUGUGGCAGGAAGUUCCCUUACUGUAACUUCUAUAUUUUCUGUGAAGCAGAAGACAAGAACUCUGUUCAAAGUUAGGGAGAUGAUAGAUUGAGGGCUAGAAGAGUAAGGCAGGCUUGAAACAAUCAUUGUCACGAAUGGGAGUUGACCAGAGAUUAGUAACGUUGCUGGGCCAUGUGUAGGGGCCCAUUUGAAACCAGCGAUUACAAAUGUGCAGUGGUUCCAGGCCGUGCGGCUGUGUGAAUCUACCUGAUGACCCUCGGCUGCUUGGGUACUGCCAUGGAUAGCGCAUGUGUUGGCUUUGUCCAGCUUUGGGCUUUUUCCCACAUUGAUUUUAAAAAGACAGGAGCCACAGAUUUUGGAGUACUGCAAAAUGACUUUCCAAAUUGAUGAACCAUGGACUCCAAGCUGGAUAGACACAGAAAUGAAAAGAAGGGACUAAUAGGGAAUAAGACGUGUGAUCCAUGGCCCGAUGGCCCUGAUGGACGUGAAGAUCCACUGUUGUGGGAGGAGUGGAACACUAACACUGAAUGAUGGAGGCUGUGGUCAGAAACAGAUUUGUCUGAAUUUCAGUUGAUCCAGAGCAAGAAAAAGAUCACGCCUGAAGAAAUGCUGCUGAUGUCUAUGUCACAGUCCUUUCUGUCUUACCCAUGAACCAAGUGAGAAGACAGCAUUGGCCAGCAGUUUUUACUAUUUCUCUUUAACUCACGUUUGGACUUUAAACUUCCAUCUGCCUCUCUCUCCUACUUUCACGGUGUCUGGAAUGUUUUCUCAAUGCCAACAAUCAAUUCUCUGAUUCUCCAGACACCAGCUGGAUGUCCUACAUUCAAUUCUAACACUAUCUACCUGGAGUUAGCACAGACCUCACAGGUUAAGGGUUCAUUCCCACAAGACCCCCACAACUUCAGAUGUUGGUUGCAAGGCCUGGCUGCCUGCACUUCUGACCCACUGGCUAUAAUUCAGGGGUUCCUGCUGGAACUGUAAUAGGUCCAUCACCAUCACCCAAUGCAGGCAUUAAGUCAGUACACCGAGACACCCGGUUGCGCAGAGAAAGAGGUAUUAUCGUGGAGCCACCAAACAACAAGACAGGAGGAAACCUUCAAAUCCAUCUCCCCAAGGAGU